UACGUAGGGGGCAAGCGUUGUCCGGAUUCACUGGGUGUAAAGGGCGCGUAGGCGGGUAAUUAAGUCAAAGGUGAAAUCUCACAGCUUAACUGUGAAAGUGCCUUAGAUACUGAUUAUCUAGAGUACGGAAGAGAGAGACGGAAUUCCAGGUGUAGUAGUGAAAUACGUAGAUAUCUGGAAGAACACCAGAGGCGAAGGCGGUCUCUUGGUCCGGUACUGACGCUGAGGCGCGAAAGCGUGGGGAGCAAACAGGAUUAGAUACCCUGGUAGUCCACGCUGUAAACGAUGAAUACUAGAUGUUGGCCCGCAAGGGUCAGUGUCGCCGCAAACGCAAUAAGUAUUCCACCUGGGGAGUACGAUCGCAAGGUUGAA
rnacentral:rRNA from 1 species